GAUGAACGCUGGCGGCGUGCUUAACACAUGCAAGUCGAACGGAAAGGCUCCUGCUUGCAGGGGUACUCGAGUGGCGAACGGGUGAGUAACACGUGGGUGAUCUGCCCUGCACUUCGGGAUAAGCCUGGGAAACUGGGUCUAAUACCGGAUAGGACGAUGGUUUGGAUGCUAUUGUGGAAAGUUUUUCGGGGGGGGAGGAGCUCGCGGCCUAUCAGCUUGUUGUUGGGGGAAUGGCCUACCAAGGCGUCGACGGGGAGCCGGCCGGGGGGGGUGGACGGCCACGAUGGGGCUGAGAUACGGGCCCGGCGCCCACGGGGGGAAGGCGGGGGGAAUAUUGGACCAUGGGCGGAAGCCGGAUGCAGGGACGCCGCGGGGGGGAUGACCGCCUUCGGGUUGUAAACUCCCUUCGCUAGGGACGAAGCGUUUUGUGACGGUACCUGGAGAAGAAGCACCGGCUAACUACGUG
rnacentral:rRNA from 1 species